rnacentral:rRNA from 1 species
UACAGAGGUGGCAAGCGUUGUUCGGAAUUACUGGGCGUAAAGGGUCUGUAGGUGGCCAACUAAGUCAGACGUGAAAUCCCUCGGCUUAACCGGGGAACUGCGUCUGAUACUGGAUGGCUUGAGUUCGGGAGAGGGAUGCGGAAUUCCAGGUGUAGCGGUGAAAUGCGUAGAUAUCUGGAGGAACACCGGUGGCGAAGGCGGCAUCCUGGACCGACACUGACACUGAGGAGCGAAAGCCAGGGGAGCAAACGGG